AAAUAGAUUUGUUGAACUAAAUUUUGAGUCCGUCCCAAACAUAGUAAAUUAGUACACUAAAAUUCAAUUUUCCAGAAACAGUAGGCACAUAUUGAAAGCAGGAACUAACAUCACGUUUAACCAUUACUUACCUUCUUCAUUCUACUAUAAAUCCUCACCAUUAUUAUCACCAUCCAACAAAAUAAAAAAAAAAAAACAAAAACAAAAAACAAAAAAAAAAAAA
rnacentral:lncRNA from 1 species